rnacentral:rRNA from 1 species
UUGAAAGGGAAACGAUUGAAGUCAGUCGUACCGACGGAGGAUCAACCUUUGAAAGCGGGUCGAGGUAUUCGAGGAGUUUAAAAGCCCUCUUGCGCUCACGUACUUCGUUUUCUUUGGUGCGCUUCUUCGUAUGGUAGGUUAACAUCAAUUUUGGACGUUACAAAAUGAUCGGGGGAAUGUAGCUUCGAUUUUUUCGAAGUGUUAUAGACCUUGGUAGAUGUGACGACCGGGAUUGAGGAUUGCAACGAAUGCUUUCGGGCUAUCCGUCUGACCUCUGGUGGUUGCUUUAGGGUCGAAAGCGUGCUUACGACUUUAAAGUUGGCUAUCAAAAGGCUAGAACGUGAUUAAAUUCGUUAAGGAUGUUGACGUA